rnacentral:rRNA from 1 species
GAUGAACGCUAGCUACAGGCUUAACACAUGCAAGUCGAGGGGCAGCAUGGUCUUAGCUUGCUAAGGCCGAUGGCGACCGGCGCACGGGUGAGUAACACGUAUCCAACCUGCCGUCUACUCUUGGACAGCCUUCUGAAAGGAAGAUUAAUACAAGAUGGCAUCAUGAGUCCGCAUGUUCACAUGAUUAAAGGUAUUCCGGUAGACGAUGGGGAUGCGUUCCAUUAGAUAGUAGGCGGGGUAACGGCCCACCUAGUCUUCGAUGGAUAGGGGUUCUGAGAGGAAGGUCCCCCACAUUGGGAACUGAGACACGGGACCAAACUCCUACGGGAGGCAGCAGUGAGGGAAUAUUGGGUCAAUGGGGCGAGAGCCUGAACCAGCCAAGUCGCGUGAGGGAUGACGGGUCCUACGGGAUUGGUAAACCUCUUUUUGGCGGGGAACAACGAGGGGCACGGCGUGCCUUUGUGAGUGUACCCGAAGAAAAA